rnacentral:rRNA from 1 species
AGAGUUUGAUCCUGGCUCAGAUUAAACGCUGGCGGCAUGCCUUACACAUGCAAGUCGAACGGCAGCACGGGGCAACCUGGUGGCGAGUGGCGAACGGGUGAGUAAAGCAUCGGAACGUGCCCUGGAGUGGGGGAUAACGUAGCGAAAGUUACGCUAAUACCGCAUAUUCUGUGAGCAGGAAAGCAGGGGAUCGCAAGACCUUGCGCUCUGGGAGCGGCCGAUGUCGGAUUAGCUAGUUGGUGGGGUAAAGGCCUACCAAGGCGACGAUCCGUAGCGGGUCUGAGAGGAUGAUCCGCCACACUGGGACUGAGACACGGUCCAGACUCCUACGGGAGGCAGCAGUGGGGAAUUUUGGACAAUGGGCGCAAGCCUGAUCCAGCCAUGCCGCGUGAGUGAAGAAGGCCUUCGGGUUGUAAAGCUCUUUCGGCCGGGAAGAAAUCGUGGUCUCUAACAUAGGCCAUGGAUGACGGUACCGGACUAAGAAGCACCGGCUAACUACGUG